rnacentral:rRNA from 1 species
CUACGGGCUGCUGCAGUGGGGAAUAUUGCACAAUGGACGAAAGUCUGAUGCAGCAACGCCGCGUGGAGGAUGACACAUUUCGGUGCGUAAACUCCUUUUAUAUAGGAAGAUAAUGACGGUACUAUAUGAAUAAGCACCGGCUAACUCCGUGCCAGCAGCCGCGGUAAUACGGAGGGUGCAAGCGUUACUCGGAAUCACUGGGCGUAAAGAGCGUGUAGGCGGGUAGUUAAGUCAGAAGUGAAAUCCAAUAGCUCAACUAUUGAACUGCUUUUGAAACUGAUUACCUAGAAUAUGGGAGAGGUAGAUGGAAUUUCUGGUGUAGGGGUAAAAUCCGUAGAGAUCAGAAGGAAUACCGAUUGCGAAGGCGAUCUACUGGAACAUUAUUGACGCUGAGACGCGAAAGCGUGGGGAGCAAACAGGAUUAGAUACCCCAGUAGUC